UGAGAGAGAGCACAAGCAGGAGGAGUCGCAGGCAGAGGGAGAAGCAGGCUCCCUGCCGAGCAAGGAGCCCAGCGUGGGACUCGAUCCUAGGACCCUGGGAUCAUGACCUGAGCUGAAGGCAGACAGCUAACCCACUGAGCCACUCAGGCGUCCCCCAUUUUAAGUAUUUUCAAGCAUUUUCAAGGGCACCGGGUCUGUUCAUAGUGGUGUGCCUUGGUUCUCUCCUUCUAGAACUUUUUUUUUUCCCCAUUCAUUCCAGAGCUUCUUAACUACCCCACACGGAAACCCUGUAGCUGCAAGCAGCCAUUCCUGGGCCAGCACACCCCACCCAGCAACAUAGCGCAUGUCCCCUUGCUCUUUCCUAAACUGAAUCCUGCAAGUCGCGGGUCUCGGCUCCCCACCCCCCACCCCCACGGUGCUGUGGGUCUUUGGGAGCCGGAGUGAGCUGGGCCGGGCUGGCUAUCUCUGCUCCCCCGCGAGCCACCCUCUCCGGUGGGUCAUUCCAGGCCUCUGUGGACGUUCCCAGCAGCGGCUCCAGCUUCCAGCAUUCCGGACGCCUCUCGGCAGGGCCCACGUCCGUGAACUACUCCGUGAGUGGCCGUCACUGUACGGGGCACCUGCAGCUCUCUGGCCGGAGCGAGCACAACAGCGUGACCCUGUUGCAGGCCGGGCUCCCGGGCCAGGCCCGCCUGAGCGCCAAGCUGCAGACACACGAGACCCAGACCCGGGCCAGCGUGGCCCUCCACGGAGGGGAUGGUGCUAUCAGCGUGGACGCGGCAGCCCUGGUGUCCUGGCCGGCGAACGGCUCCCUGGAGCUGCUUGUGAACGCCAGCCACGUGGCUCCCAGUCUCCGGAGGCUGGGCCUGCCCUCGACCACCCAGCUCGUGUUCCAGAAGCUCUGGGCAGAGGAACAGAUGCUGUCUUCCCUACGGCUGACCUGCGAUUCUCAAGCCAGCCUGGUCCUCGACGUGCGUGGCCAGAGCCAGGAGUUCCGGAAAGAGCUGCAGCUGUCCGGCCGGCACAGCCUCCCCGCCCUCCUGGGCCGCUGCCCCCGCAGAGCCUCAGUCUCAGCCAAGCUACAGUACUUGGAGCGUGAGGCCGAGAGCACGGUUUUCUUCGAGGGGGAGGACCAUCAUUUCCAUGUGGGCACCAGGCUGCUGACGACAAAGGCCAGUGUUACCAACAUCAUCAGGCUGGAGCAGACCUUCCCCCAGCUCAGAGCCCUUCCCAGGCAGCUGGUCCUGCAGACCUUGUACGAGACAGCCCGUGGGACCCACAUCCUGCACCAGACAGUUCUGUGGGAUGACCAGGAGGCGGAGCUCAACGGGAGCCUCUUGGGGCCCUUCCCCAGGCCCACUGGGAACCUCAGCAUCCAGGCAGAGCUCACCCACCCGCUGCCUCUGUCUCUGUCCCCACCACGGCGUGGCAGCCUCCGUCUGUCCUGCGAGCACUCACGACACAGACACCAGGACGACCUGCUCGUGGGCUGGGGUGGCAAGGACCAGGUGCUGGCCUCGUCCUCUCUGCAGCUGGGGAAGGGCAAGCUGGCCGGCCGCCUGGCCCUGGCUCACCCCUUCAGCCUCUCCUUGUGGCGCAUCGAGGCCAGUGGCCUCGCUGAGGGCAGGGGUGGCCGGCGGAGCGCAGAGGUCCAGCUGGCCUGGGACAGAGGGCAGCCCGUGACCUUGCACCUCGCUUGGACCAACAGGUCCUCAGCGUUCAGUACCAUCUGGGAUGGCUGCCUGGCCGCCUCCCCGGGGCAGGUAUGCACUGGCUGGACUGCCAAGCCACGCACGGGGCUCUCCCUAACGCGGGGUCUCUGUGUGGACUCCCCCCAAGUCCCACACUCCAUCCUCUUGUCAGCUCCAGGAAAUUUGGGGUCUAAGUGCCCUCAGGGCCUGUGGGGCCUUAACACAGACCCCAGCCGUGUUCAGCGAGCAGCUCGAUCUGGCCUGGGACCGACGCCUGGUGCAGCAGAACCUGACGUAUGA
rnacentral:lncRNA from 1 species